UACGUAGGGGGCAAGCGUUGUCCGGAAUCAUUGGGCGUAAAGCGCGUGUAGGCGGUUCGAUAAGUCUGCUGUGAAAGUCCAGGGCUCAACCCUGGGAUGCCGGUGGAUACUGUCGAGCUAGAGUACGGAAGAGGCGAGUGGAAUUCCCGGUGUAGCGGUGAAAUGCGUAGAGAUCGGGAAGAACAUCGGUGGCGAAAGCGCUCUGCUGGACUGCAACUGACACUCAGGGACGAAAGCUAGGGGAGCGAAUGGG
rnacentral:rRNA from 1 species